UACUGUACGAAGGUAGCGCAACCACUUGUUCUAUAAUUAAGGACUAGUAUGAAUGGCACCACGAGGACCAUACUGUCUCCUCUUUACAAUCUGUGAAACUGAUCUUCCCGUGAAGAAGCGGGAAUUACAAUACUAGACGAGAAGACCCCAUGAAGCUUCAAACUAACACAGCAACUUUACUGUAUCAACAACACUCUAACACAAGUAAGUAGUGACCAUUAGUUUUUGGUUGGGGUAACCGCGGAGUAAAAUAUACCCUCCAUAGUGAAGGGGGCCCCCCCUAAUUCAAGAACCACAUCUCUAAAAAUCAGUAUACUGACGAAUCUGACCCAUAUAUUUGAUCAAUGAACCAAGUUACUCUGGGGAUAACAGCGCAAUCUAUUUUGAGAGUCCGUAUUGACAAAUGGGUUUACGACCUCGAUGUUGGAUCAGGGCAUCCAAGUGGUGCACCCGCCACUAAAGGCUCGUUUGUUCAACGAUUAAAGCCCUACGUGAUCUGAGU
rnacentral:rRNA from 1 species